ACUUUAGUUUCCUCAGAGAAUCCGAUAAAAUUAGAACGAUAUUGAGAAGAUUAGCAUGGCCGUAUGCAAGGAUGAUACGCACAAAUCGAGAAAAAGUAUAUUUUAAU